GGUAAAUAUGCUUCUGUCAUUUCUAUCUACAAUAUAUGCACAAAACUACAAUAUCACUUAAUAUUAUUAUUUAGAAAUUUGCAACCAUUACCCUACUCCAUAGAAGAAUGGGUACCCCCGGUUCUGUGCAGUGAGGGAGUGUACAAGGACUCGAAAGCUGCUCACAUACCCGGGCUUAGACUUUGCGGACUUCAGGCUGAAGGGAUGAAAUUGUGCUCUCAGGUCUCUCCCAGACACUUGAGAUAACCAGAACACCAGCAAUGGAACAGCUUCAUCAAAGUUGGGUUUGGUUUGCUGAGUUAUAGCUUGGAAGAAGAAUUUUGUUUGAGUGAGGUUUAAAUUAUGAGGAUUACGUGCAUGGAUGAGAACAUGAGGAGCAAAUGAGUGAGACUGGAAGACGGGGAAAAGCUGGAAACAAGAAAAAUCAAAUCCAUCAACUCAAACACACCCUCGAGUCCCAGUGAAGAGAGCAUGGUACAAUGGAAAACUCACAAAUUGGGCAAUCAGCUGCUUCCAAAUUCCUGGUCAGCCCCUGGUAGCUGUGGGGCCUUAGGCAAGGCACGUGACCCUUUCUGAACUUCUACAUCUUCACAAAAACAUCUUUGAACAAUACCUAACUAGCAAGAAAGAUUAGAGAUGAUCUAUGUGGAAGUGCAUGACACAAUACCCUGUCCACAGGUAUGUUUAAUAAAUGCCCUAUUAUUACCUCUUAGUCAUCAUUCGCUAUUGUAAUCCCCUGGAACCAAUGUGAAACAGAUCCUUAAGAAAUUAAAACCAACCGACUGUCCAGCCAAAAUAGAAGCAGAUACUGAGCUAGAAACACACACUUGACAAGAAAAAAUAAUUUUUUUUUGUAGUCAUAGCAAGAUCAAGCAAGGAAAAAAAAAAUAAAAGAUAAUGUUGGAAUAUUAUGGAAAAAUAUUUUGAUAUACCCAGAAGGAAUAAGUUUUGGUGGACUUGGUAGCUAAGUAUCAGGAAACCAGAGUCCACCAGCUACGUAAUAUCACCCUUGGUAAGUGCAGCCAUGUUCCAAAGCAGAAGUGUCCAGAGGAAUCACAGAUAAAGAAAGCCGGGCUACCAAAUUAAAAUUACAGACAUCCAAUGAAGAAAUUCGUUAUGUACUGGAUAUAAUAGCAGCAGAUGACACCCUUUCUAUGGAGAAGAUUAAUAUGCUGACUUGAGAGGUGGGAUUCUGGCCACUGGAAAGGGGUGUCCAGGUGGAGCCAGCGAAGUUCUCCUCCUCCCAGAGUUCCUCCAUGAUGGCCCAUGGUACAACAGUGGUCAAGAGCAGAAGGACGGCACUCAGAGACUGACUUGAAGACCAGGAAAAGAAGUAAAACUGCAACAACUGGGACCCACAACAUUCCUUAAGAAUUUCUCUGCAAAAGUUUCACUUCUGCAGGGACUGAAGAGUGGGAUCACUUCAAGAAAGACACCCUGUUCUUGGGUCCUAGAUGCCAGAUUCUGGACAGCAGCAUUAUCCUACAACACACAGGAAAACCAGAGUAGAAACCAUCAGGUGUAGAAUCACUUAAAGUACUAAUAUCAUGUCCUAAAUCCUGCAAAAUAAGAUAAAUAUAUCGUAUGAACCAAUAAUACAAGGCCUCCCUGUGUUCGCAGAACAGCUCUACUGUAUUCAGUCUACAAGUGUAUAUUCUAGCUAUAAGGAGUUUUGAACAUGUAACGGACAGUAAUUAUCUUCUUAGAAUUCAGUAGUUUUUGGAGGCAGUGCUACAAAUGGCCUAGCUCUCACAACACAAACCAAACAAACAUGAACUCUAAGCCGAGAACUUCAUUCAGCUGCCUUCUGAUUCUGGUCACAUAUGUUAAAUUAAACAAGGAAGCCAUUAGACUGAGGUGACUUUAAUCCUUCAGUCGCCUAGUGAGCGAACCCAUACCUAAUCCUGUAAAUGCCUCAAGGUUAAGAACCUGAAACCUAAGGACAACCACUCACAACAAACAGCCAACUAGGCCUCCCAAGCAAGGCAACCGCUUACGCUACAGCCGAAUCCAAUCAUUCCUUCGCUUGCUUCCCAGUCUUCCCUUUGAAAGUCUUUCCUCUGACUCCUAACUACUCUAGCGAGUCUCUGCCCAAUUAGAAACCCUGUUUACUCAAGCUAGCAAUUUAAUAUGCCUCAGUUUAUCUUUUAGCACAUUCAAACUCAGUCCUGAAUACCUUAUCUCCUAUCUUACGGUCAUGUCCUCUGACUUUUAAAAAGGGAAAUGUCUUAGAAACCAUCUGGCCCACCCCACCCACUCUCACCCUGUGACCAUUUAAAAUAAGGGAACCAAAACUCAGGGAGGCUGAGGGAUGCCCAAGAUCAUGAUUUUAAUUUUAUCCUUCCUUCUGUGAAUGCUAAACAAAUCAUUUUAAUAAGACUUAACAGUAUCCACAUAGAUCACUGCUCCCAGCACAUAUGAGUGAACAAUGCUACCCCGUCGUGAUUGACAGAAAAAGUGAAAUGAAAGUUAAAUGACAUGUCAUGCUUUCUCACAUGAGAAACCUAUUUUGUGGAAAGUAGCCACAAACAAAUAAUGUGGAUGUUCAUACCAGACCAGGGAUAAUUUAGAAACAAAAAGUAUGUCCAGUUACAUGAAGCUUAUAGUGAUAGCCCUCCAAGUAAUUCAC
rnacentral:lncRNA from 1 species